rnacentral:rRNA from 1 species
ACGAAAGUCUGACCGAGCAACGCCGCGUGAGUGAAGAAGGUUUUCGGAUCGUAAAGCUCUGUUGUAAGUCAAGAACGUGUGUGAGAGUGGAAAGUUCACACAGUGACGGUAGCUUACCAGAAAGGGACGGCUAACUACGUGCCAGCAGCCGCGGUAAUACGUAGGUCCCGAGCGUUGUCCGGAUUUAUUGGGCGUAAAGGGAGCGCAGGCGGUCAGGAAAGUCUGGAGUAAAAGGCUAUGGCUCAACCAUAGUGUGCUCUGGAAACUGUCUGACUUGAGUGCAGAAGGGGAGAGUGGAAUUCCAUGUGUAGCGGUGAAAUGCGUAGAUAUAUGGAGGAACACCAGUGGCGAAAGCGGCUCUCUGGUCUGUCACUGACGCUGAGGCUCGAAAGCGUGGGUAGCGAACAGGAUUAGAUACCCUGGUAGUCCACGCCGUAAACGAUGAGUGCUAGGUGUUAGGCCCUUUCCGGGGCUUAGUGCCGGAGCUAACGCAAUAAGCACUCCGCCUGGGGAGUACGACCGCAAGGUUGAAACUCAAAGGAAUUGACGGGGGCCCGCACAAGCGGUGGAGCAUGUGGUUUAAUUCGAAGCAACGCGAAGAAC